GGAGUCUGGGCCGUGUCUCAGUCCCAAUGUGGCCGUCCGCCCUCUCAGGCCGGCUACUGAUCGUUGCUUUGGUGGGCCGUUACCCCGCCAACUGGCUAAUCAGACGCGGAUCCAUCUUUCACCGAUAAAUCUUUCCUCAUGUCACCAUGCGGUGACUUGAGCGUAUGCGGUAUUACCAGCCGUUUCCAGCUGCUAUCCCCCUGUGAAAGGCAGGUUAUCCACGCGUUACUCACCCGUCCGCCACUAAACUAAAGGAAUCACUCCGAAAAGUUCUUCCAGUAGUCCCCGUUCGACUUGCAUGUGUUAGGCACGCCGCCAGCGUUCAUC
rnacentral:rRNA from 1 species